ACAAAGUUACCUGCAGUAGUGGACAAGUGUACUCGGGGCACCCUCCUCCAACCCUUCUGUUUGUCCCUUACCUUGGUUGGAGACGUGACUGCAGUCGCCGGUCCAAGCCGUUAGCAGGGGCAAGAAGAAACCAAAUUGCAAAAGAAAUUCCCGGACUUCGCAGCCCCCCAUGGCUCUGGUUGGUUCUCUUCUCCUCCUUAAAAAGAAGUGGCAGCAGCGCAGCCAGGUGUUCCUAGUAGCGUGGGGGUCCUGAACCAAGCUCUCUUCUUCUUCCUCCUCCUCCUCUUCCUCCUCCACCCGGUCCGCAGGGGAAGUCCCGGGGCGCCCCCCGCGCGAGGCCCGGUGCGCAGGGUGCUAUUUGCUUUGUAAAAUGAUGAAAAGAGUGGAGAUUUAACCUGCAAUUAAUUCCUCGAGGGAAAACAAGAAUGAUUUGCAUUGCCGAUCUCUAAAUACCUAAAAAGUAUACUUCAUAACUACUAUUGAAAUGAUAAUAUUGCUAAUAAACUUAUGCUUAUGUAUCUGUCCUUGUAAAAUCUAGAUUGCUUUGUUAUUUCUGGGGCAGCACACAAAGCUUUUCAAUAUUAUUUCAAGUUAUUUUUUUUUUUCAAUCAGCGGUUGCCUGUUUGACAUUUAGAAAAUGCUAGUUAAUGAUAUUUACUUUUA
rnacentral:lncRNA from 1 species